rnacentral:rRNA from 1 species
GAUGAACGCUGGCGGCGUGCCUAAUACAUGCAAGUCGAGCGAAAAGACGAGGAGCUUGCUCCGCUGACGUUAGCGGCGGACGGGUGAGUAACACGUGGAUAACCUACCUAUAAGACUGGGAAAACUUCGGGAAACCGGAGCUAAUAGCGGAGAAUAUAUUGAACCGUAUGGGUGAAUAGUGAAAGACGGCUUUGGUGUCACGAAUAGAUGGAUCCGCGCCGCAUUAGCUAGUUGGUAAGGUAACGGCUUACCAAGGCGACGAUGCGUAGCCGACCUGAGGGGGUGAUCGGCCACACUGGAACUGAGACACGGUCCAGACUCCUACGGGACGCACCAGUAGGCUAUCUUCCGCAAUGGGCGAAAGCCUGACGGAGCAGCGCCGCGUCAGUUAUGACGGUCUUCGGUUCGUAAAACUCUCUUAUUAGGUGAGAACAACUGUCUAAUUAACUAUGCACGUCUUGACGGUACCUAAUCAGAAAGCCCCGGCUAACUACGUG